GAUGAACGCUGACAGAAUGCUUAACACAUGCAAGUCGAUUCAAGUUACCUUCGGGUAAUGAGGAUGGCGGACGGGUGAGUAACGCGUAAGGAACUUGCCUCUUGGUCUGGGACAACUGUUGGAAACGACAGCUAAUACCGGAUAUUAUGAGAUUCUCGCAUGGGAAACUUAUGAAAGCUAUAUGCGCCAAGAGAGAGCCUUGCGUUCCAUUAGCUAGUUGGUGGGGUAAUGGCCCACCAAGGCGACGAUGGAUAGCCGGCCUGAGAGGGUGAACGGCCACAAGGGGACUGAGACACGGCCCUUACUCCUACGGGAGGCAGCAGUGGGGAAUAUUGGACAAUGGGCCACAAGCCUGAUCCAGCAAUUCUGUGUGCACGAUGAAGGUCUUCGGAUUGUAAAGUGCUUUCAGUUGGGAAGAAGAAAGUGACGGUACCAACAGAAGAAGCGACGGCUAAAUACGUGCCAGCAGCCGCGGUAAUACGUAUGUCGCAAGCGUUAUCCGGAUUUAUUGGGCGUAAAGCGCGUCUAGGCGGAAAAAUAAGUCUGAUGUUAAAAUGCGGGGCUCAACUCCGUAUUGCGUUGGAAACUGUUUUUCUAGAGUACUGGAGAGGUGGGCGGAACUACAAGUGUAGAGGUGAAAUUCGUAGAUAUUUGUAGGAAUGCCGAUGGAGAAGUCAGCUCACUGGACAGAUACUGACGCUGAANCGCGAAAGCGUGGGGAGCAA
rnacentral:rRNA from 1 species